rnacentral:rRNA from 1 species
UACGAAGGGUGCAAGCGUUACUCGGAAUUACUGGGCGUAAAGCGUGCGUAGGUGGUUCGUUAAGUCUGUCGUGAAAGCCCCGGGCUCAACCUGGGAAUGGCGAUGGAUACUGGCGGGCUAGAGUGCGGUAGAGGAGAGUGGAAUUCCCGGUGUAGCAGUGAAAUGCGUAGAGAUCGGGAGGAACAUCAGUUGCGAAGGCGGCUCUCUGGACCAGCACUGACACUGAGGAGCGAAAGCCAGGGGAGCAAACGGG